rnacentral:rRNA from 1 species
UACGAAGGGUGCUAGCGUUGUUCGGAAUUAUUGGGCGUAAAGCGUACGUAGGCGGUUUGGUAAGUCAAUUGUGAAAGCCCUAAGCUCAACUUAGGAACUGCAAUCGAAACUGCCUUACUUGAGUUUGGUCGGGGAUGGUGGAAUUUCUAGUGUAGGGGUGAAAUCCGUAGAUAUUAGAAGGAAUAUCGGUGGCGAAGGCGACCAUCUAGGCCAAUACUGACGCUGAGGUACGAAAGCGUGGGGAGCAAACAGG